GCUACACAUGCAGUCCGACGUGAAAGGGGAGCAAUCCCCCGGUAGGGUGGCAAACGGGUGAGUAAGACAUGGGUGAUCUGCCCUGGAGAUGGGGAUAUCCCUCCGAAAGGGGGGGCAAUACCGAAUAGUAUCCGGUUCCGUGAAGGGGGCCGGGGAAAGGGAGGCCUCUGGUACGAGCUUCCGCUCCUGGAUGAGCCCAUGGCCCAUCAGCUAGUUGGUAGGGUAAAGGCCUACCAAGGCGACGACGGGUAGCUGGUCUGAGAGGACAACCAGCCACACUGGCACUGAGACACGGGCCGGACUCCUACGGGAGGCAGCAGUGAGGAAUUUUGCGCAAUGGGGGCAACCCUGACGCAGCAACGCCGCGUGUGGGAAGAAGGCUUUCGGGUUGUAAACCACUUUUGUAAGGGACGAAGUCCUUUCGGCAAAUAACCGAGGGGGAUGACGGUACCUUGCGAAUAAGCCACGGCUAACUCUGUGCCAGCAGCCGCGGUAAGACAGGGGUGGCAAGCGUUGUUCGGAGUAACUGGGCGUAAAGGGUCUGUAGGUGGUUUUUCAAGUCUUUGGUAAAACGCCGUGGCUCAACCAUGGUUUGGCCAAGGAGACUGGGAGACUCGAGGCUGGGAGAGGGAAGCGGAAUUUCUGGUGUAGCGGUGAAAUGCGUAGAGAUCAGAAAGAAGGCCGGUGGCGAAGGCGGCUUCCUGGAACAGACCUGACACUGAGAGACGAAAGCGUGGGGAGCAAACAGGAUUAGAUACCCUGGUAGUCCACGCCCUAAACGAUGGGAACU
rnacentral:rRNA from 1 species